UGGCAGCGUGGAACGUUCAGGCCAGAAGGAGGCUGUGAUUUUGGGUUGAUGUUGGUGCGUGAAAGAACAGCAGAGGAGCCAAAAACGUGGACGACUCGAUAGCAAGACCCCUUCGAGGAGAACUUCUCCCAGCAGAUUCAGUUUUAAUCCCAGUGCUUAAAACGACCUCGGCGGACGCAAAGAGGAAGGCGAGACCACUUGGCUUGCAGUACAACAGAACAGACCAAGAGCCAAGAGCUGGUUGGAGCAGUGGAACGAGUGAGGCGCGGACAGCUGAGAAAAAGCAGGAUACAGCAGGCAUU